rnacentral:rRNA from 1 species
UACGUAGGCAGCAAGCGUUGUUCGGAGUUACUGGGCGUAAAGGGUGUGUAGGCGGUUCUUUUAAGUUUGGUGUGAAAAUCUCCCGGCUCAACCGGGAGGGUGCGCCGAAUACUGAGGGACUAGAGUGCGGGAGAGGAAAGUGGAAUUCCUGGUGUAGCGGUGAAAUGCGUAGAUAUCAGGAGGAACACCGGUGGUGUAGACGGCUUUCUGGACCGUAACUGACGCUGAAACACGAAAGCGUGGGUAGCAAACAGG